AGCUAUUUAUUGAAUUUCAAAAGAACAAGUAAAAGAAACAAUGAUAGUAUGGUCUAAAAUUUUUGGAUAUGCUAUAGAAUUAGAUAAAUGGCAAAAACUCUGGGAAAGAAAUUAUAAAUUGAUGAUGUCAACAGCCUAUAAAGAAAAUCCUUACAAAAUGCAUCUGCCAACA